rnacentral:rRNA from 1 species
UACGGAGGAGGCAAACGUUGUUCGGAAUCACUGGGCUUAAAGCGCGUGUAGGCGGAACGGUAGGCGUCUUGUGAAAGCCCCCGGCUCAACCGGGGAACGGCUGGGCGAACCCCCGUUCUUGAGGCAGGUAGAGGCGAGCGGAACCAUGGGUGGAGCGGUGAAAUGCGUAGAUAUUCAUGGGAACGCCGGUGGCGAAAGCGGCUCGCUGGGCCUGUUCUGACGCUGAGACGCGAAAGCGUAGGGAGCAAACAGGAUUAGAUACCCUGAUAGUCUACGCUGUAAACGAUGCGCACUAGGUACGAGAGGUUCUGACGCCGAUCGUGCCGAAGCAAAAGUGGUAAGUGCGCCGCCUGGGGAGUACGGCCGCAAGGCUAAA